CACAACUUCCGGUGCAAAAACGAAAACACAGCCACCAGCUGACUGGAAGUAAGCAAGAGCAGAAAGUGUAGAAAUACUGUGGAGGAUUUCUGCUUUAAAGUGUUCGUCUGUGUUUAAAUGCUCAUAUAUCAGCUGAGAGAGCAAGCAGAGGAAUGUUAGCAGGACAGGGAGGAAACUGCUGUCUGGAAAUAAUCAGAGAGGAGUCUAAACAAAGAGUGAGGAAUGGGCAGCGAGUACCAACCACUGUCUUGUGCAGAGUCAUGCAGAAGUUUGUUUAUAGAGACAACAGAGUGCUUUAUAUGCAAGGAUGGUGAAGUCAAAGCCAGUGACCCACUGAAGAACUUCUGUGACUGCAAGAAUUUGCUUGCCCAUCACAUGUGUCUAUCCACAUGGAUCCAAAGGGGAUGUGGGAGUGAAGACAGACUGCGAUGCAUCAUUUGCAAGGCCAAGCCUGCACCGACUGCUGAGCCGGGGAGGAAUUACAGCGCAGAGCGAGAGCCUCUGCAGAUAUGCCAGCCGCUGACAUUGAGG
rnacentral:lncRNA from 1 species